rnacentral:rRNA from 1 species
UUGAUCCUGGCUCAGAACGAACGCUGGCAGCGUGGAUUAGGCAUGCAAGUCGAACGAGAACAUGCAGGUUCAAGCCUUCGGGCAAGAACCUGUGUGGGAGAGCGGCGAACGGGUGAGUAACACGUGGGUAAUCUACCAUCGAGUUGGGGAUAACUCGCCGAAAGGCGGGCUAAUACCGAAUGUGGUCGUGUCACGCAUGUGACACUGUCUAAAGGCGGGGAACCUUAGGGUCCUGUCGCUUGAUGAUGAGCCUGCGGCCUAUCAGCUUGUUGGUGAGGUAAUGGCUCACCAAGGCAUACGGGUAGCUGGUCUGAGAGGAUGGUCAGCCACACUGGGACUGAGACACUGCCCAGACUCCUACGGGAGGCUGCAGUCGAGAAUCAUUCACAAUGCGCGAAAGCGUGAUGAUGCGACGCUGCGUGGAGGAUGAAGGCCUUCGGGUCGUAAACUCCUGUCAUUCGGGAACAAUCCCGACAGCACUAAUAGUGCUGCCGGGUGAUGGUACCGAAAGAGGAAGUCACGGCUAACUCUGUGCCAGCAGCCGCGGUGAUACAGAGGUGGCUAGCGUUGUUCGGAUUCACUGGGCUUAAAGGAUGCGUAGGCGGUAGUGCAUGUCAGAUGUGAAAUCUCACUGCUCAACGGUGAGCGUGCGUUUGAAACUGCAUUACUAGAGUGCGGGGGAGGAGAGCGGAAUUCUUGGUGUAGCGGUGAAAUGCGUAGAUAUCAAGAAGAACACCGAUGGCGAAGGCAGCUCUCUAUCCCGCUACUGACGCUGAGGCAUGAAAGCUGGGGGAGCGAACAGGAUUAGAUACCCUGGUAGUCCCAGCCGUAAACGGUGUACACUAGGUGUGGGAGGAAUUGACCCCUUUCGCGCCGCAGCUAACGCGUUAAGUGUACCGCCUGGGGAGUACGGCCGCAAGGCUAAAACUCAAAGAAAUUGACGGGGGCCCGCACAAGCGGAGGAGCAUGUGGCUUAAUUCGAUGCAACGCGAAGAACCUUACCAGGGCUUGACGUGCCCGUCGUAUCCUUCUGAAAGGAAGGAGUCAGUUCGGCUGGACGGUGCACAGGUGCUGCAUGGCUGUCGUCAGUUCGUGCCGUGAGGUGUUGGGUUAAGUCCCGCAACGAACGCAACCCCUAUGUUUAGUUGCCCCCAUCGGUGAUGAGCCGGUGAGCACUCUAGACAGACUGCCCAUGUUAAGUGGGAGGAAGGUGGGGAUGACGUCAAGUCAGUAUGGCCCUUAUGCCCUGGGCUGCACACGUGCUACAAUGGUCGGUACAACGGGAAGCAAUACCGCGAGGUGGAGCAAAUCCCUGAAAACCGCCCUCAGUACGGAUUGGGGUCUGCAAUUCGACCUCAUGAAGUUGGAUUCGCUAGUAAUGGCGCAUCAGCAACGGCGCCGCGAUACGUUCCCGGGCCUUGUACACACCGCCCGUCACGUCAUGAGAGCCGUUUGCACCAGAAGUCGCCGAUCCAAUCCCUCACGGGAAGGAAGGCGCCGAAGGUGUGAGUGAU